CACAGCGCUCCCCAGCCCAGAAGGCCUCCCCGGCCAGGUGGUGGUACCUGCCCCCCAUGGAGCAGCCACACUGGAUUGGGGGCACGCAGUCCAUGCCACUGAGCACAAAGCCUUGGUCACACUGGCAGCCAUCCUGGCAUGGUGUCAGGCAGCUGUCGGGCAGGGCAGGCUCGGCACAAGAGCUAGGACAGGAGGAGCCGCAGAGCUCGUAAUUGCUGUGGGGAGGACAGGCCAGCUCUGGAAGAAAACAGGUGGACCUGGGUCCCGUUAACCUGGACAGACACCUCCAAGAUGAGCGUGAGGGGGCUGCUGGAUCUGUUCUCCUUUCACGGCUGUAUCCUGAAGAAUGGCAGUGAGCUGGAAGAGCCACAGGAUUCGGCAAAGACGGACACACAGAGCCCAGCUCACGGCAAACCUCAAUGGAUAUUUGUUGGAAGAAUUAAUGAAUGUGUCGAAGCCUUUUCUAUAGCACAUAUUUGUUCAACUUCGGCAUCCACUACAUGCCGGGAACAUCCCAGGGCCUGGGGACACAGCAAUGACCAAGACCGAGAUCCCUGACCUCAUGAAACAGAUGUUCUAGGGCAGACGUUGACAAGCUUCACCCUUGGGCCCAAAUCUGGCCCUCCACCUGUUUUGGCACAGCCUACAAUCUAAAUAGUCUUUACAUGUUUAAGUGGUUAGAAAAAAAGAAACCAAAAGAGGAAAUUUUGUGAGGUGUGAAAAUCAUGUAAAAUUCAAAUUCCGAUGUCUAUAAAUAAUGUCUUCAUGAAAGCCAGCUCGCCGGUUCGUGUAUUGUCUAUGACUGUUCUUAUGGUACAACAGAAGCUUUGAGUAGUUGUGGCAGAGUGUGGCCCUGAAAGCCUAAAAUAUUUAUUAUCUGGCCUUUUAUCAUAAAAGUAUGCUGACCUAUUCUAGAGGGGGGAAAUGGGCGACAAACUAGCAAUAAAUAAAAGAUAAUUUUGGAUUGAGAAACUGGGUUAGAUCUGUGUUACCCAGCUUUAGGUAGCGCAGAGUGGCCGAGCCCCAUGGGCUGAUUUGAGGACAGUGGCUAGGGAGGCCUCUCUGCAGAGGUGACAUUGGAGCCGAGGCCUGAAUGAUGGAAGGAGCCAGCUGUGUGUACAUCUGGGAAAGAGCAUUCCAGGCCAGGGGGACAGCAGAUGCAAAGACCCAGGGGUGGGAAGGUAUUUGGCGUGGUCCAGGGACAGCAGAGAGGCCAGUGUGGCUGGACCCUCGGUGUGGAGUGAGCUAGACAAAGCCAGUAUAGGAGGAGGCAGGGUGAGCCGAGAGAGGCCGCUGUGGGGGCCUCUUAGGAGGAGGCUUGGAGGUCAGCUUUCAUCCCAGAGGUAAGGGGGACCCAGGGAUGCUUUUAAUCAGGAAUCUGAUGAGAUCUGACCUAUGCUUUUUCAUUUUUUUUAUGUUUUUGAGACAGAGUCUUGCUGUUUUUGAGACAGAGUCUUGCUCUGUCACCCAGGCUGAAGUGCAGUGGCACCAUCUUGGCUGACUGCAGCCUCCACCUCCACCUGGGUUCAAGCGAUCCUCCCGCCUCAGCCAGUGCACACCACCACACCCAGCUAAUUUUUUUUUUUUUUUUUUUUUUUUUAUUUUCAGUAGAGACAAGGUUUCACCAUGUUGGUCAGGCUGGUCUUGAACUCCUGACCUCAAGUGAUCCACCCACCUCGGCCUCCCAAAGUACUGGAAUUACAGGUGUGAGCCACUGUGCCCAGCCCUAACCUAUGCUUUUAAAUGCCUUAUGGUAGGUUCUGGUGACACGCUGGUGACCAAGAGAGACCCCAUCCCUAACCCUUGUCUUUGGGGGUUUCACAGAUCAGGGGAAAAACAUACUGGAGGAGAGAUUGCUGGGGAGGGUUUUGUGUGUGUGUGUGUGUGUGUGUGUGUGUGUGCGCGCGCGCGCACGCGCAUGCGCUGGCGGAGUGGGGGUGUCCCCCAGUCUCAGGAUUAAUAAAGAAAGUCAGAAAAGGAGAAAUGUCCUGGGUGGGACGUGGGAGAUAUUCCAGCUCAAAGUUCAUCUUGAUUUGAGCACCCAGAGUCUGGGGGCUGGAGGAGACACCUGCACCCUUCCUGGAUGGGUUUCCUGGAUUCCUGCUGCCUGGAAUGUCCCCCCGCCUCCCCGCUCCCCCAGCCAGCUCGGCUCCCUUUUCCACCACCUUCAGUCUCCACUCCCAGGGCACCUCUCUGCACCCCAGGGAACCCUAACCCCCCAGUUUAAUACUGCAUGCCCCUUCUCCAGCACUCCCCAGCCCUGCCCCGCCUGACUUACUGUUUAAUCACCUACUUACUGGCACUCUUUCUGUCUUCUCCACUGGAAUGUCACCUCCAUGAGGGCAAGGUUUUGUCUGUUUGAGUCACUGCUGUGUCUGCAGCUUCUAGAAUGCUGCCUAGCGCUUAGUAGGUGUUCAGUUAACCUUAGUCAAAGUGUGUGAUGCCCCCGGGGCUUGUCUCUGGCUUUGGGAGGAGGGGUGGGCCAGGCAGGCCAGAGGCCAGAGCACCCACCACCAGUCCCUUGUGUUGGCCUUCAGAGCUUGCAAUGGGCUGUUUCCUUUGGACAAAGAGAGGUUUUGUUUGCAAGAUGCUGAACUUGCUUCCUGCUCUGAGAGGAGUGAGGAACUAGGGGCAGAGAAAAGGAGUUGCACCUCCAGGUCCUGGAAGUUAGAGGCCCAGUCCUUCGGGAUAAAGUCCUCACUUCUUGCCUGCCAUUCAAGGCCCCACAGACACAGCCCAGGACCAUGUCUCUCUCCAGGCUCCCCCAUCUCUGGCUCAAAUUUACACAGUCUCUGGGCUUCUGAAAACCUUGUUCCUUCUCCCUAGAACAUUUGGCUUCUCCUUGCUUACCUAUUGGCUUUGACCUGUCAUUCAAGCCUCAGCUCUCGUGGCCCUUCCUCUGGGAAACUUGGCCUGACUUUCCAGGCUGGGCCAGCCCCUCCUCUGUGCUCCCAUGUGGCCCUACGCUUCCCUCAUCUGAGCCCUGAUCACUCUGCCGUGGCUGCCCCACCACAGACUCGGCCACCCUGGCAGCGUGUGGGCCCUACGAGGUCAGAGACCCGGCACUUCUCAGUCCUGCCCUGGCCCCUGCAUCACCCAGGGCAAGAUCAGGCCCAGGGAGACCCCUCCCUGCCACUCCCCAGCUGUGCGGCUCUGUGUCUGCUCUUCAUCUGUGAAAUGGUCGCGUUGUCCCAUUCACACCAAAGGGAUAAAAAGAUGGCUCAGGACCCAUCUCAGCUGCCUGCUGGACUGGAGAGGGUGUGGGCCGGGCUGAUCCCAGGCCCUCCCCAGGACAGGCUGACCCAGUCUCUGGGACAAGGCCUGCCAACAGCAGAGCCCUGUGGUUUUGAUUUCCGGACAGAGUGAUGUUAACACAGGUUAAAAAUCAAUUUCAGGCUGGGCACGGUGGCUCACCAGCACUUUGGAAGGCAGAGGCAGGUGGAUCACUUGAGGUCAGGAGUUCAAGACCAGCCUGGCCAACAUGGCAAAAUCCCAUCUCUAUUGAAAAUACAGAAAUUAGCUGGGCAUGGUGGCGUGCUCCUGUACUCCCAGACACUUGGGAGUCUGAGGCAUGAGAAUUGCUUAAACUCUGGAGGUGAAUUUUGCAGUGAGCCGAGAUUACACCACUGUGCUCUAGUCUGGGUGACAGAGUGAGGCUCCAUCCCAAAAAAAAAAAAAAAAUCAAUUUCAUAAUGACAGCUAAUACUUGUAGAGCAUUCACUAUAUUCACUCUAUUGCCAGCUACUGUUUAUUUGUUUGGCUCUCACAACAACCCCACAAGAGAAGUGUUAUUAUCACCAUUCUUUCUCUUGUUAAAGGGGAAACUGAGGCAUGGAGAGGUUAAGUGACUUCACCAAGAGCACACAGCUGAAAGUGGUGGUACUGGCAUCCAAGGCAGCCUGACUUUGGGAUCUGAUCUGUGUUCUCAAUCUCAAUGCUAUACAGAUCAGUGGGAGCAUUCCCUGCUUUGAAAAAUGAAAUAGAAUAGAAAAGAAUGUAAUGCAAAGUAUUGAGUGCAUUUUCCUAUUUGGUGACACUUUGUGUGCUGUGUAUGCAUAUAUUGGUGUGGUCAGCUGAAGAACAGCCCCUCAAGGAUGUCCACAGCCUAAUCGCUGUAUCCUGUGUUACGUUACAUGGCAAAAUGGACUUUGCAGAUGUGAUUAAGGUUCUAGACCUUGGGAAGGGGGAGAUUAACCUGGAUUAUCUGGCUGGGCUCAGUGUAAUCACGUGGGCUCUUAAAAGUGGGAGACAGAGGCCAGAGAGUCCAUCAGAAAGAGGCAAGGGAUUUCGAAGCAUGAUGGGGACUUGACCUGCUGUUAGUGGCCUUGAAAAUGAUGGAAGGGGCCAUGAGCCAAGGAAUGUGGGUGGCCUCUAGAAGUAGACACCAACCCUCAGGUUACAGCCAGCAGAGAGACAGGGCCCUCAGUCCUAUAACCAUCAGAAACUGAAUUUGGCCAGCAAUUUAAAUGAUUAAGGAAACAGUUCUCCCCUAGGGCCUCCAGAAAGAAAUGCACUCCUGCAGACACGUUGAUUUUUAGGCCAGCGAGAACUGUGUUGGAAUUGUAAGAAAAAAUUUGACAUAGCAAGACCCCAUCUGUACAAAACAUUUUCAAAAAAUUAGCUGGAGUUGGGCCGGGAGGGGUGGCUCAUGCCUGUAAUCCUAGCACUUUGGGAGGCCAAGGUGGGCAGGUCAUGAGGUCAGGAGAUCGAGACCAUCUGGCUAACAUGGUGAAACCCCAUCUCUACUGAAAAUACAAAAAAUUAGCCAGCUGUGGUGGCAGGUGCCUGUAGUCUCAGCUACUCGGGAGGCUGAGGCAGGAGAAUUGCUUGAACCCAGGAGGUGGAGGUUGCAGUGAGCUGAGGUCGUGCCAUUGCACUCCAGCCUGGGCAACAGAGUGAGACUCCAUCUCAAAAUAAAUAAAUAAAUAAAAAUUAGCUGGGUGCAGUGGCUCACACAUGUAGUCCCAGCACCUUGGGAGGCUGAGCAGGAGGAUCGCUUGACACUAGGAGUUUGAGAACUGCCUGGGCAACAUAGCAAGACUCUGUCUCUACAAAAAAAGUUUUAAAAAUAGCCAGGUGUGGUGGUGUGUGCUUGUAGUCCCAGCUACUGAGGAGGCUGAGGCAGAAAGAGCACUUGAGCCAGGAGUUGGAGGCUGCAGUGAGCCAUGAUUGCACCACUGCACUGCAGCCUGGGUGACAGAGCGAGAUCCUGUCUCAAAAAAAAAAAAAAAAAAGUGUUAUUUUAAG